rnacentral:rRNA from 1 species
AGGGCGUACGGGGGAUGCCUAGGCUCACAGAGACGAUGAAGGACGUGGUAAGCUGCGAAAAGUCAGGAGGAGGUGCAAACGACCGUUAAUUCCUGAAUGUCCGAAUGGGGCAACCCACUAUGUUGAAGACAUAGUACCUAGCAAUAGGAGGUAACCCGGGGAACUGAAACAUCUAAGUACCCGGAGGAGGAGAAAAUAAUUUAAUGAUUCCGCAAGUAGUGGCGAGCGAACGCGGAACAGCCCAAACCAUUGCGAUACGUCGCAGUGGGGUUGUAGGACCUGAAUAAUUAAUAAGCAUGUAAUUGGAACACAUUUGGAAAAUGUGACCGAAGAGGGUGACAGUCCCGUACAGGAAUCAUGUUUAUUAUGUCGGGUAUCCUGAGUAGGGCGGGGCCGGAGAAACCCUGUCUGAAUUCGCGGGCACCAUCCCGUAAGGCUAAAUACUCCUGUGAGACCGAUAGUGAACCAGUACCGUGAGGGAAAGGUGAAAAGAACCGCGAGAAGCGGAGUGAAAAGACCCUGAAACCGUGCGCCUACAAGCGGUCGGAGCAACCUCGUGUUGUGACGGCGUGCCUUUUGCAUAAUGAGCCUACGAGUUACUCCUCACUACCAAGUUUAAGGUCUUCAGGACCGGAGGCGAAGCGAAAGCGAGUCUUAACAGGGCGAAAAGGUAGUGGGGGUAGACGCGAAACCUGGUGAUCUACCCAUGGGCAGGUUGAAGUUCCGAUAGUCUCGGAAUGGAGGACCGAACCGGUACAUGUUGAAAAAUGUUCGGAUGACCUGUGGGUAGGGGUGAAAGGCCAAUCAAACCAGGAGAUAGCUCGUACUCCCCGAAAUGCAUUUAGGUGCAGCGUCGUGUAGUGUGUGCCGGAGGUAGAGCUACCAAUAGGGCUAGGGGGCUUCACCGCCUACCAACCCCUGAUGAACUCCGAAUGCCAUGAUAUGUUUCUCAGCAGUGAGGCUAUGGGUGCUAAGGUCCGUAGCCAAGAGGGAAACAACCCAGACCAUCAGCUAAGGUCCCUAAAUUUCAGUUAAGUUGAAUGAACGAGGUGGGAAUGCUAAGACAGCUAGGAUGUUGGCUUGGAAGCAGCCAUUCAUUUAAAGAGUGCGUAACAGCUCACUAGUCGAGCGUUCCUGCGCGGAAAAUAAUCGGGCAUCAAACUGAAUACCGAAGCUAUGGAUUUGCAAUUGAUUGCAAGUGGUAGGGGAGCAUUGUAGUAGCAUUGAAGGUUAACUGCGAGGUUAAUUGGAGCAACUACAAAAGCAAAUGUAGGCAUGAGUAACGAUAAAAGGGGUGAGAGACCCCUUCGCCGAAAGACUAAGGUUUCCUCGAUCUAUGCUAAUCAGAUCAGGGUUAGUCGGGACCUAAGGAGUAGCCGAAAGGCGAAUCCGAUGGCAAACGGGUUAAUAUUCCCGUACCUACUAUAGAAUAAAAGUGACGGCGCUUACGGCGUAUCGCGUACUGACGGAAUAGUACGUUGAAGGCUUCGGCCGAUAGUACAUGGACUCCUCCGGGAAGAAAUGAUAGUGUACUUAGUAAGCGUCCAAGAAAUAGCGACUAUAGCAGCCCGUACCGCAAACCGACACAGGUAGUCGAGAAGAGUAUUCUCAGGCGCUCGAGUGAUUCGUGGCUAAGGAACUAGGCAAAAUGGUCUCGUAACUUCGGGAGAAGAGACGCUCUAAUUUAAAUUGGAGCCGCAGUGAAGAGGCCCAGGCGACUGUUUAGCAAAAACACAGGACUCUGCUAAAUCGAAAGAUGAAGUAUAGGGCCUGACACCUGCCCGGUGCCGGAAGGUUAAGGAAGGGGCUUAGACUUCGGUCGAAGGUCUUAACUGAAGCCCCGGUAAACGGCGGCCGUAACUAUAACGGUCCUAAGGUAGCGAAAUUCCUUGUCGGGUAAGUUCCGACCUGCACGAAUGGUGUAACGAUCUGGGCACUGUCUCAGCCAUGAGCUCGGUGAAAUUGAAGUAUCGGUGAAGAUGCCGAUUACCCGCAACGGGACGAAAAGACCCCGUGAACCUUUACUACAGCUUCACAUUGUGUUAGGGUAUAAGAUGUGUAGGAUAGGUGGGAGACUACGAAGCGUGCACGCUAGUGUAUGUGGAGUCGUCCUUGAAAUACCACCC